rnacentral:tRNA from 1 species
GGGAGUACAGCUCAGUAAUAGAGCACUUGCCUAGAAUGUGAGAGGUCCUGGGUUGGAUCCCCAGCAGUGCCA